GAUGAAGAACGCAGCGAAAUGCGAUAAGUAAUGUGAAUUGCAGAAUUCAGUGAAUCAUCGAAUCUUUGAACGCACCUUGCACCCUUUGGUAUUCCGAAGGGUAUGCUCGUUUGAGUGUCAUUGUACUCUCACACUUCUAAUUCCUUUCGGGAUUGGGAGCGGUGGACUUGGGUGUUGCUGCUUUAGUUGUGGCUCACCUCAAAUAAGUUAGUGCAACUCUUGGUUGGACAUAGUACGGCGUGAUAAGUGUCUUCGCCGGCGCCUCUGUAAGGAGGGUGGCCGAUCGGGAGCUCUGUGCUUCAAACCGUCUUCGGACAAUCUUUGACAACUUGACCUCAAAUCGAGUAGGACUACCCGCUGAACUUAAGAAUAUCAAUAAGCGGAGGA
rnacentral:misc_RNA from 1 species